rnacentral:rRNA from 1 species
AUUGAACGCUGGCGGCAGGCCUAACACAUGCAAGUCGAGCGAGCGGCGGACGGGUGAGUAAUGUAUGGGGACUGCCCGAUAGCGGCGUAUAACUACUGGAAACGUUGGCUAAUACCGCAUACUAUCGGAUAACCCAUAUGGGAUUGGCUAGUGGGUGGGGUAAAGGCUCACCUAGGCGACGAUCUCUAGCUGGUCUGAGAGGAUGUUCAGCCACAUUGGGACUGAGACACGGCCCAGACUCCUACGGAGGCAACAGUGGGGAAUAUUGCACAAGGGGCGAAAGCCUGAUGCAGCCAUGACGCGUGUAUGAAGAAGGCCUUAGGGUUGUAAAAUAAUUUCAGCGGGGAGGCGUUAACCGCAGAAGAAGCAACGGCUAACUCCGUGCCAGCAGCCGCGGUAAUAC